UGUACGUGUUAGAAUAAAAUUCACACAAUUAUAAGCAAACAUUUUUUUACUAUAUAUAUUUCAACACUAUAAAUCAAAUUUUUUUAUCCAAAAUUUAACACAGAAUAAUUUUUUUUUGUCAUCUCAUUGAACACAACAUUUAUGUUCAUCCAAUUGGGGGUCAGAAUUUUUUUAGGAAAAAAACCAGAACCCCUAUGAUACCACCCACAAUUUCAGCUUGAUCUGUGUUUUGUGGUAAUAGGCAUUGUGUAAACCCACAUUAUUUAUAAUAUAAUAGUUUAACAAUAGUUGGUCGAGGCAAACUUAAAAAUUAAGUUAGAGAAUGGAAAUUAUUUUUCUAUUUGUAAAUGGGCAUAACUCUGGAACUGUAAAAGUUAUGACACCUAAGUUCAAACUUGGUCUGUGUUUUGUGGAAAUAAGCAUUGUGUAUAGAUUUUGUAACAUUUAGUUGAAGAAAACUAAAAUUAAAGAAUGGGAACCAAUUUUUGGGAUGCAAUAACUUACAGGAGUACCAAGGCCACAUUUAAAAGAAUGUCUGUUUCCCCUCCCCGGGUCUACCCUUUGUAAACAGACCAGGAAGGCAGGUUUUUUUUUUUUUUUUUUUUUUUU
rnacentral:lncRNA from 1 species